UUCCAUUAAAACAAUUAUUUGGAUAAAAUUAUUGUUUUUCAACCAUAUAUCACUUAACAAAGGGCGAAUUCAUAAGGAACAAUGACUCCAAAAUAGAACAUUAUUAAUACAUGUUAAAGUGGAUAAACAUCUUUGAUAAUCACCAACACACUGGCUUCCUCUGCAUGUUGUUUAAGGUUGCUUAUAUGACAAACUCCUAUCAAAAACCAUAAGGUGAGUAAUCAAAUCAUGUUAACUUAUAGUAGUAGUCGGUAAACAAUUUACAUGUAGUUAUAUGUUCAAAUAUGAUAACUAAAUAAAAAUAUUUAAAAUUUAAAUGAUUCACUAUAGUUUAACACAUAUACACAACAUUAAGGAGUCAAAAACAUAUUGUUAAUUAAAGCCAUAUAUCUACUCAUUCAUGUUCUAUCAUUAAGUCAUUAAUGUGGUCACAGCUAAUGGCUACACGUAUGAGUUCGAACUCAAUUUUAUUGAUUUAUAAUAAUAAUAAUCUAUACUAUAUAUAAAAAAACAACUCAUUUCAACUGUUUUAGGCUGGCCUUUUCUUUCAAAAAAAUGCCAUCAAUUUUCAAUACAUGUAACAAAUAGAUAAGAAUAAAUUUAAAUAUUAAAAAAAUAUAACAAAUACGAUAUGAUUAUAUAUAUGUCUGGUUUUUUUUUUUCCAUUAUCAUUUAAAAAAUGUAACAAACUAGAUGAGUAUAUUUAUACAUACCUUUUCAUUAUUUCAAUUAUACCCUUAAACAACUCUUUAUAUAAUAAAGAUUGUUGUUGGUGUCGCUAAAAAAAGGUAUCCAGAUUAUAUCUUUUUUGUUAUAUUUUUUGUGUCAUUGAAAUAGAUAACCACGGUUAGUUUGAUUUGUUAUAACUUGAAAGCAAAAAACAUUUAUAUUUUUAAUUUUAAUCAAAAUCAAAAUUUCGUAAAAAAACAUCGCUCAUAAUUUUCAAACGUUAGCGCAAUAAAAAGAGCAGAAAAAAACGGCCACGUUAGUGCCCGUCUUUUCGCCAGUAGUAAUAAUAAUAAUAAUAAUAAUAAUAUCUUUAGAUUUCACAUAAUUUUCGCGUUGAUUUCAAGUAAAACAAACUUUUAAUGAUGAAGAUUGCACCAAAAUAAUGAAACUAAUCAAUGGAAGUGUUGGUGUUUUAAGUGAUGAGAUGGAAGGGUUAUAAAAUUUAAAAUUUGUACUUGAACUGGUAAAUCAAUCGUAGUAAUAUUAUUAUAUUUUUAAAACUCCGUACCCGAUCCAUGGACCGAGUAAUCUAAGGAGACCAGUCUCACCGCUUACUUGUGGGAGACCCCAUUUACAGUCAGAGCAAAGCUCUGUAUGGACUUACCCACUGAAAUUGGCACCAAAGUGAAUUGAACGUGAGACCUUGAGAGGAGCACACUCUAAAAUCGAAAGUCAACCAAUAGUCAAAUCUCAAAUUGGUCAAUCGUAGGAAUAUUAUCUUGAAGUUGUAGCAAAAAUGGAGCAAUAUUCUUGCAUAUCCCUUGUACCGUCAAGAUUGAGUUCCGCAUCUUGCUUCAACUACCUUGUUUUGUUAUUUCUCUACCUACCUUUUCUUUUCUAUUAACACUAUUGUUUUCUCUAAUAUUAGGAAUUAACUAAAAAAAUUUCUCAAAAUAUAAAAUCUUUAUCGGUAUAAACUUUUAAAAAAGUAUUCAAAUAGACAAACCUGCAUUUACACAAAUUACGAAUACAUCUCACAAAGUUAUUAGGGGGACACACAAAGAAGUUUGGACAAUCACCGGCGACGGUGCACGUUAUAUCUGCAAAGUAAAAUAACAAUAGAUCAAUUUCAUCAAAAGGUAAUGAAAGGUUGUGUAUAACAUAAAGAAUAAAAUGCAAAACCACUUACCUUUACUGGUUACAACCAGAAUUAAGGAAAGAAAUAUAAUCAAAGCAUAGAAAGACUUGGAAAUUUGAGUCAUAUUUUUCCUCCUUUUCAACUAAUAAGUUGAAA
rnacentral:lncRNA from 1 species